GUUUGAUCAUGGCUCAGAUUGAACGCUGGCGGCAGGCCUAACACAUGCAAGUCGAGCGGAUGACGGGAGCUUGCUCCUUGAUUCAGCGGCGGACGGGUGAGUAAUGCCUAGGAAUCUGCCUGGUAGUGGGGGACAACGUUUCGAAAGGAACGCUAAUACCGCAUACGUCCUACGGGAGAAAGCAGGGGACCUUCGGGCCUUGCGCUAUCAGAUGAGCCUAGGUCGGAUUAGCUAGUUGGUGAGGUAAAGGCUCACCAAGGCGACGAUCCGUAACUGGUCUGAGAGGAUGAUCAGUCACACUGGAACUGAGACACGGUCCAGACUCCUACGGGAGGCAGCAGUGGGGAAUUUUCCG
rnacentral:rRNA from 13 species